GACGAACGCUGGCGGCGUGCCUAAUACAUGCAAGUCGAGCGAGUCAAUGGGAGCUUGCUCCCUGAGAUUAGCGGCGGACGGGUGAGUAACACGUGGGUAACCUGCCUGUAAGACUGGGAUAACUUCGGGAAACCGGAGCUAAUACCGGAUACGUUCUUUUCUCGCAUGAGGAGAGAUGGAAAGAUGGUUCUGCUAUCACUUACAGAUGGACCCGCGGCGCAUUAGCUAGUUGGUGAGGUAACGGCUCACCAAGGCGACGAUGCGUAGCCGACCUGAGUGGGUGAUCGGCCACACUGGGACUGAGACACGGCCCAGACUCCUACGGGAGGCAGCAGUAGGGAAUCUUCCGUAAUGGACGAAAGUCUGACGGAGCAACGCCGCGUGAGCGAAGAAGGCCUCCGGGUCGUAAAGCUCUGUUGUUAGGGAAGAACAAGUACGAGAGUAACUGCUCGUACCUUGACGGUACCUAACCAGAAAGCCACGGCUAACUACGUGCCAGCCGCCGCAGUAA
rnacentral:rRNA from 1 species